rnacentral:rRNA from 1 species
CCUACGGGUGGCAGCAGUGAGGAAUAUUGGUCAAUGGGCGGAAGCCUGAACCAGCCAAGCAGCGUGCAGGAUGACGGCCCUACGGGUUGUAAACUGCUUUUAUACGGGAAUAACGCGCCUUACGUGUAGGGCUUUGCAUGUACCGUAUGAAUAAGGACCGGCUAAUUCCGUGCCAGCAGCCGCGGUAAUACGGAAGGUCCGGGCGUUAUCCGGAUUUAUUGGGUGUAAAGGGAGCGUAGGCCGCAUGUCAAGCGUGCUGUGAAAGGUCCGGGCUCAACCCGGGCCUUGCAGCGCGAACUGGCGUGCUUGAGUCCGGGGAAGGCAGGCGGAAUUCGGGGUGUAGCGGUGAAAUGCUUAGAUAUGACGAAGAACCCCGAUUGCGAAGGCAGGUUGCUGCAGCGGAACUGACGCUGAUGCUCGAAAGCGCGGGUAUCGAACAGGAUUAGAUACCCUGGUAGUC